rnacentral:rRNA from 1 species
UACGGGGGAUGCAAGCGUUAUCCGGAAUCAUUGGGCGUAAAGCGCCUGUAGGUUGUUUAUCAAGUCUGUUUUUAAAGACUAGGGCUUAACCCUAGAAAAGCAAUGGAAACUGGUAGACUAGAGUAUGGCAGGGGUAGAGGGAAUUUCUAGUGUAGCGGUGAAAUGCGUAGAUAUUAGAAAGAACACCGGUGGCGAAAGCGCUCUACUGGACCAUUACUGACACUCAGAGGCGAAAGCUAGGGUAGCAAAAGGGAUUAGAUACCCCUGUAGUCCUAGCCGUAAACGAUGGAUACUACAUGUUGUGCUAAUGUACAGUAUGGUAGCUAACGCGUUAAGUAUCCCGCCUGGGGAGUACGCUCGCAAGGGUG